UACGUAGGGGGCUAGCGUUGUCCGGAUUUAUUGGGCGUAAAGAGCGUGUAGGCGGCUUGGCAAGUCUGCUGUGAAAACUCGAGGCUCAACCUCGAGCUGUCGGUGGAAACUGCUUGGCUAGAGUCCGGAAGAGGAGAGUGGAAUUCCUGGUGUAGCGGUGAAAUGCGCAGAUAUCAGGAGGAACACCUAUGGCGAAGGCAGCUCGCUGGGACGGUACUGACGCUGAGGCGCGAAAGCGUGGGGAGCAAACAGG
rnacentral:rRNA from 1 species